rnacentral:rRNA from 1 species
AAAAGGCGGCGUAAGCUGUCGCUAAAGGAUGGACCCGCGGUGCAUUAGCUAGUUGGUAAGGUAACGGCUUACCAAGGCGACGAUGCAUAGCCGAGUUGAGAGACUGAUCGGCCACAUUGGGACUGAGACACGGCCCAAACUCCUACGGGAGGCAGCAGUAGGGAAUCUUCCACAAUGGGCGAAAGCCUGAUGGAGCAACGCCGCGUGAGUGAAGAAGGUUUUCGGAUCGUAAAGCUCUGUUGUUGGUGAAGAAGGAUAGAGGUAGUAACUGGCCCCUAUUUGACGGUAAUCAACCAGAAAGUCACGGCUAACUACGUGCCAGCAGCCGCGGUAAUACGUAGGUGGCAAGCGUUGUCCGGAUUUAUUGGGCGUAAAGCGAGCGCAGGCGGAAAGAUAAGUCUGAUGUGAAAGCCCCCGGCUUAACCGAGGAAUUGCAUCGGAAACUGUGUUUCUUGAGUGCAGAAGAGGAGAGUGGAACUCCAUGUGUAGCGGUGGAAUGCGUAGAUAUAUGGAAGAACACCAGUGGCGAAGGCGGCUCUCUGGUCUGUAACUGACGCUGAGGCUCGAAAGCAUGGGUAGCGAACAGGAUUAGAUACCCUGGUAGUCCAUGCCGUAAACGAUGAGUGCUAAGUGUUGGGAGGUUUCCGCCUCUCA